CAGGUUUACUGAUCUUGUAAAUCAAUGUUUAUAUUUUUAUUCCUGUUCUUCUAGGGCCGGGGGUAGCAUCUUCAGGCAUUAUAUCAUGAUCUCUUUUUUGGGUGCUUUUGAUCCGAGUGUAGGCAUGUUUUUUUUGUCCUUGUAUGUUAGUAUUUCCUAGGUUAAAUCAAAUUUCUUCGUGGUGGUGCUUUAUCAUCAUGUACGUGAAUUCAUGAUAAUGGCUAAAUGUGUUUGCAUAUUUUAUACAAUAACACGUGAAUGAUGACUAAUUUAAACGAGUGCAUUAUAUCAAAAUAUGUACAGAAGUUACUUGGUGUAAACAUGAUAUUGGUGUUGCUUAUAAUAGACGCAACCUUUCUUCCUGGAAUGAAUUGCAUUUUAUAAUCAAAAGCUGGUAGAUGUGCUUGAUAAACUUGUUCCUGCUCUAACUCUUCAUCUUAUUUUGCCACAGGAUGUUUA
rnacentral:misc_RNA from 1 species